GGAAACUACUAGUAGAAGAUCUUCUUCACCAGAAUCUCUAUCAGAAAUGUAAUAUAAAAUAUACCUUUUUAAUAUCAUGGAAAAGACAAUAUACUUACUACCACUGCUUCUAAUGAAGAUUAUGCUGGAGUUCCUAGCCGUGCAUAAUAAGAAAUUAGACAGGGGUUGAAAUAUAGAGGUAAAGGGAAAGAGAGAGAGAAGAAUCAAAGAAAGAAAAGGGUGUAAGUAUGAGUUAGAAAGAAAGAAGAACACUAAAGAUUGAACACAAAGUCAUACAAAGGAACAAGGAAAUGAAUGGAAAGAAAGAGAAAAUCUAAU
rnacentral:lncRNA from 10 species